rnacentral:lncRNA from 1 species
CGAGGUCUCAACUGUGGCAGCUUGGAAAUAGCUUAUGAACUCAAGGUGACAGUUUUCUUUGGUCUUGAACUGGGCCUUCUUGUACAGUGCCUAGGAGUGACUUCUGCAUAGCAUCCGGGGCCUGUGUGGGAUUUUGAUUGACAUGUGCAGCUGCCUCAUCCACCUUCAGUCAUAGCACCAUUGGACACAUUGGGUUCCAGACUAUCCUGCAAGGAUCAUGCCCUCCUGGGAAGCAGGUGGCUGUUGAGCUUGGUGAUCUUUCCCAAGGAUGGGGCAGAGGGGUUUCACCCUGGAGCACCAGGAGUACCAGCUGUGAUGAGCUGUGCUGUGCCAGGUCUGUCUCCAUUUGGCAUUUGAUGGGAACCACGGGCUUUGGAACAUUCUGCUUCUACCUGGACUCAGUUGUGAGACAUCACCCAUAUUGGAUUCCAGCCUGCCUUAACCCACCGUG